AUUGAACGCUGGCGGCAGGCCUAACACAUGCAAGUCGAACGGUAGCACAGAGAGCUUGCUCUCGGGUGACGAGUGGCGGACGGGUGAGUAAUGUCUGGGAAACUGCCCGAUGGAGGGGGAUAACUACUGGAAACGGUAGCUAAUACCGCAUAACGUCGCAAGACCAAAGUGGGGGACCUUCGGGCCUCACACCAUCGGAUGUGCCCAGAUGGGAUUAGCUAGUAGGUGGGGUAAUGGCUCACCUAGGCGACGAUCCCUAGCUGGUCUGAGAGGAAGGCCAGCCACACUGGAACGGAGAAACGGGCCAGACUCCAGCGGGAGGCAGCAGUGGGGAAUAUUGCAAAAUGGGCGCAAGCCUGAUGCAGCCAGGCCGCGGGUAUGAAGAAGGCCGUCGGGUUGUAAAGUACUUUCAGCGGGGAGGAAGGCGGUGAAGUUAAUAGCUUCACCGAUUGACGUUACCCGAAGAAGAAGCACCGGCUAACUCCGUGCCAGCCGCCGCGGUA
rnacentral:rRNA from 1 species